rnacentral:rRNA from 1 species
UACAGAGGUCUCAAGCGUUGUUCGGAUUCAUUGGGCGUAAAGGGUGCGUAGGCGGCGCGGUAAGUCGGGUGUGAAAUCUUGGAGCUUAACUCCGAAACUGCAUUCGAUACUGCCGUGCUUGAGGACUGGAGAGGAGACUGGAAUUUACGGUGUAGCGGUGAAAUGCGUAGAUAUCGUAAGGAAGACCAGUGGCGAAGGCGGGUCUCUGGACAGUUCCUGACGCUGAGGCACGAAGGCCAAGGGGAGCAAACGGG